UGAACGCUAGCGGCAGGCUUAACACAUGCAAGUCGAGGGGCAGCAUAAUGGAUAGCAAUAUCUAUGGUGGCGACCGGCGCACGGGUGCGUAACGCGUAUGCAACCUACCUUUAACAGGGGGAUAACACUGAGAAAUUGGUACUAAUACCCAAUGACGUCUCUAGAAGACAUCUGAAAGAGAUUAAAGAUUUAUCGGUGAUGGAUGGGGAUGCGUCUGAUUAGCUUGUUGGCGGGUAACGGCCCACCAAGGCGACGAUCAGUAGGGGUUCUGAGAGGAAGGUCCCCCACAUUGGAACUGAGACACGGUCCAAACUCCUACGGGAGGCAGCAGUGAGGAAUAUUGGUCAAUGGACGAGAGUCUGAACCAGCCAAGUAGCGUGCAGGAUGACGGCCCUAUGGGUUGUAAACUGCUUUAUAAGGGAAUAAAGUGGGAGUCGUGACUCUUUUGCAUGUACCUUAUGAAUAAGGACCGGCUAAUUCCGUG
rnacentral:rRNA from 1 species